rnacentral:snoRNA from 1 species
AACCCAUCGUGAGGGCACCUCCUUAAUAAAUCCUUGUAUCUCUCCUAUGCAUCAUAUAGUGUUUCUAAAUCCAUCUGCACAAAAAAAGAUAUAUCAUUCCUCAAUUU